rnacentral:piRNA from 1 species
UGAGGAUGUUGUCCAAACGCA